rnacentral:lncRNA from 1 species
GCUAGUUUCACUUUUAGACUACUCCAGUCGCGAGGAGAUUCCUUCCUGAUACAGGGCUGAAACCUGCCUCUCUGAAACGUCCGCCUGUGUGUCACAGAGCUUGGGCAAUAUGUUUGUAACCUUCAAAGAUGCCAAAGAAGAAUGGGGUGACACGACAUUCACUUGUCUAUCUAUAGCUCACCAGUUCUAUGACUUUAGGCAGGUAAGUCACUUAACCACCCUAAGGCCCCAUUCCUUCAUCUAUGGAGUAGUUAAUUAUCUGAUGCCCUCAAUGAAUCGUUGGGUAGAUCUAAUGGAAUAAUGGAUAUGAAAGGAC